rnacentral:rRNA from 1 species
ACGGGAGGCAGCAGUGGGGAAUAUUGGGCAGUGGGCGAAAGCCUGACCCAGCAACGCCGCGUGAAGGAAGAAGGUCUUCGGAUUGUAAACUUCUUUUAUGAGGGACGAAGGACGUGACGGUACCUCAUGAAUAAGCCACGGCUAACUACGUGCCAGCAGCCGCGGUAAUACGUAGGUGGCAAGCGUUAUCCGGAUUUACUGGGUGUAAAGGGUGUGUAGGCGGAGAAGCAAGUCAGGCGUGAAAUACACGGGCUCAACCCGUGAACUGCGCUUGAAACUGUUUCCCUUGAGAGUGGGAGAGGUAAACGGAAUUCCUGGUGUAGUAGUGAAAUGCGUAGAUAUCAGGAGGAACACCGGUGGCGAAGGCGGUUUACUGGACCACAACUGACGCUGAGACACGAAAGCGUGGGGAGCAAACAGGAUUAGAUACCCUGGUA